AGUCGACGGAUCCUUCGGGAUUUAGUGGCGGACGGGUGAGUAACACGUAAGAACCUGCCUCUAGGACGGGGACAACAGUUGGAAACGACUGCUAAACCCGGAUGAGCCGAAAGGUAAAAGAUUUAUCGCCUAGAGAGGGGCUUGCGUCUGAUUAGCUAGUUGGUAAGGUAAAGGCUUACCAAGGCGACGAUCAGUAGCUGGUCUGAGAGGAUGAUCAGCCACACUGGGACUGAGACACGGCCCAGACUCCUACGGGAGGCAGCAGUGGGGAAUUUUCCGCAAUGGGCGAAAGCCUGACGGAGCAAGACCGCGUGGGGGAGGAAGGUUCUUGGAUUGUCAACCCCUUUUCUCAGGGAAGAACUCAAUGACGGUACCUGAGGAAAAAGCAUCGGCUAACUCCGUGCCAGCAGCCGCGGUAAUACGGGGGAUGCAAGCGUUAUCCGGAAUGAUUGGGCGUAAAGAGUCCGUAGGUAGCCAAUCAAGUCUGCUGUUAAAGAGCGAGGCUUAACUUCGUAAAGGCAGUGGAAACUGGAAGGCUAGAGUGUAGUAGGGGCAGAGGGAAUUCCUGGUGUAGCGGUGAAAUGCGUAGAGAUCAGGAAGAACACCGGUGGCGAAGGCGCUCUGCUGGGCUAUAACUGACACUGAGGGACGAAAGCUAGGGGAGCGAAUGGGAUUAGAUACCCCAGUAGUCCUAGCGGUAAACGAUGGAAACUAGGUGUGGUCUGUAUCGACCCGGGGCCGUGCCGAAGCUAACGCGUUAAGUUUCUCGCCUGGGGAGUACGCACGCAAGUGUGAAACUCAAAGGAAUUGACGGGGGCUCGCCACAAGCGGUGGGAGUAUGUGGUUUAAUU
rnacentral:rRNA from 1 species